GUAACAAGGUCUCCGUUGGUGAACCAGCGGAGGGAUCAUUACCGAGUUUACAACUCCCAAACCCCUGUGAACAUACCACUUGUUGCCUCGGCGGAUCAGCCCGCUCCCGGUAAAACGGGACGGCCCGCCAGAGGACCCCUAAACUCUGUUUCUAUAUGUAACUUCUGAGUAAAACCAUAAAUAAAUCAAAACUUUCAACAACGGAUCUCUUGGUUCUGGCAUCGAUGAAGAACGCAGCAAAAUGCGAUAAGUAAUGUGAAUUGCAGAAUUCAGUGAAUCAUCGAAUCUUUGAACGCACAUUGCGCCCGCCAGUAUUCUGGCGGGCAUGCCUGUUCGAGCGUCAUUUCAACCCUCAAGCACAGCUUGGUGUUGGGACUCGCGUUAAUUCGCGUUCCUCAAAUUGAUUGGCGGUCACGUCGAGCUUCCAUAGCGUAGUAGUAAAACCCUCGUUACUGGUAAUCGUCGCGGCCACGCCGUUAAACCCCAACUUCUGAAUGUUGACCUCGGAUCAGGUAGGAAUACCCGCUGAACCUAAGCAUAUCA
rnacentral:misc_RNA from 1 species